GCCUGGGUGGCUCAGUCGGUUAGGUGGCUGACUUCGGCUCAGGUCACGAUCAAGCGGUCCGUGGGUUCGAGCCCCACAUCGGGCU
rnacentral:tRNA from 1 species